GGGAGUGGCAGCCUGAACGGAUCAUCAGGAGUGAUCAUACACAAGCAGCAGUUAAUAACUUAUCACUUCAAGAACUUCCAGUGAACUUGCAGAUUUGUUUGCAGAACUUGGAGACAGCCGUUACUGUGGAUGAGAAACUCUGGACGAGUAAAUGCAUCAUUUUAAACUCUGUAAAAUAUGCAGUUGGAGAUUUCUUCAUUUUGGAACUUGUGCAUGCAGAGCAAAUUCCACUGUUUGUGAAAAUAGACCUGAUUGUGUAUAUCAGGGCAAACUGGUUUCUUGUUGGAAGACUUUUCACAACACUGGAGUUUAUAAGACACCUUCAAUCAUACCACAUCAGAGAGACUGAUGAUCUGUUGAUAUUCAAGCCUGGGGAUGAGGUAGACUUUCAUGCUUUGGACGCAUACAGAUGUGAUGGUCAAGACUUCAUUACACUGAUCCACCGACCUUUUAAGGCAGUCCAUACCAAAGUUAGUGGAAGGCAACACAAAGAAAAGCAUACUGUGCCAGCACUCCAACCUAUGUUUAACUGCAAAGUGCAGUUUCCUCCAGCUGUGCUCACUGCGUUGACCAAUAAAGAUGCAGCACUAAAGUCACCCACCAAGAACAGACUCAAAAACAUGCUUAUUCAAGCACUGUUUGACCACUUGAGUAAUGAGACAAUGUAUCCCUCUCAUGUGCAGUAUGUAGAGCUUCUGAGGACUGUCCUUCUGAGUUUUCCUUUUUUGAAGGAGAGUUAUGGCUCUGGAUAU
ensembl:lncRNA